AUGCCAGAAGGGCUGUUGGUGAGGACAUUUCACCAUUCGGUCUCUCCUUUUGUGGGCAAGCAGGUGGUAAAGACAGGGAGCAACAGUAAGAAGUAUAGCCCACCAGCCUCCAGUCUCUGUGGCUCCAGGACACCCAGGUCCAUGGAAAGAAAUUAUUCCUUAGAUUUGAUCCAGAUGAAGAAAUGGGGCCCGCUGGCAACAGCUCACCGCCAGAGCCUCCACAAAAAGAAGCGCAGAAGGAAGGGACUGUGGACUCAAAGCAGGCCCGGGAGCAAGUGGGCAGAAGACCCUUGACGCCUCCUCACAGUCCGCAGAGCUCGUCCCCCAGGGAGAGGAUGAUUAGGAAUGUUUGAAGGGAGACACCCCUACAGGAGAUGCUGGGAGGCGGCUGCGUGUCAGCUCUUGUUUGCUUGGCAGCGUUUGGGUGAACGACUUCUCCAGAGCCAAGAAAGCCAACAAGAAGGGGGACCGGAGGGACCCUGCCCCGAGGUUGGUCCUGUACUUUGGUGGUGGUAGCUUCCUGGCACUUUAUAAUUGUCAGAUGCCUUGGAGCUCUUCCCCAGAGGUCACACCCACCUGUGACAUCCUGUCUGAGAAGUUCCAUUGAGGACAAGCCUUGGAAGCUCUAGGCCAGGCUCAGCCUGUCACUUAUACACCAUUGGACCAGAAAUACUUCUCAGGGCUAGGGAACGUCAUUAAGAAUGAAGUCUUGUACAGAGCUGGCAUCCAUCCCCUUUCUCUUGGUUCAGUCCUGAGUGCCUCCAUGUUAGGAGGCCCUGGUGGAUCACGUGGUGGAGUUCAGUACAGCCUGGCUGCAGGGCAAGUUCCAGGGCAAACCGCAGCACAUGCAGGUCUACCAGAAAGAACAGUGCCCAGCUGGCCACCAGGUCAUGAAGAAGCCCUUUGGGCCCUCAGGUGGGUUCCAGAGGCUCACCUGGUGGUGCCCACAGUGCCAGUCUCAGUUGUUAGAGGAGCCGGAGCAGUGCCAGUUCUUCUAA
rnacentral:lncRNA from 1 species